CAGUCGAACGGUGAACUUGGAGCUUGCUCUAGGGGAUCAGUGGCGAACGGGUGAGUAACACGUGAGUAACCUGCCCCAGACUCUGGGAUAAGCCUUGGAAACGAGGUCUAAUACCGGAUACGCGACAGGACCGCAUGGUCUCUGUUGGGAAAGUUUUUCGGUCUGGGAUGGACUCGCGGCCUAUCAGCUUGUUGGUGAGGUAAUGGCUCACCAAGGCGACGACGGGUAGCCGGCCUGAGAGGGCGACCGGCCACACUGGAACUGAGACACGGUCCAGACUCCUACGGGAGGCAGCAGUGGGGAAUAUUGCACAAUGGGCGAAAGCCUGAUGCAGCGACGCCGCGUGGGGGAUGAAGGCCUUCGGGUUGUAAACCCCUUUCAGCAGGGAAGAAGCGAAAGUGACGGUACCUGCAGAAGAAGCGCCGGCUAACUACGUGCCAGCAGCCGCGGUAAUACGUAGGGCGCAAGCGUUGUCCGGAAUUAUUGGGCGUAAAGAGCUCGUAGGCGGUUCGUCGCGUCUGCUGUGAAAACCCGAGGCUCAACCUCGGGCCUGCAGUGGGUACGGGCGGACUAGAGUGUGGUAGGGGAGACUGGAAUUCCUGGUGUAGCGGUGGAAUGCGCAGAUAUCA
rnacentral:rRNA from 1 species